rnacentral:piRNA from 1 species
UGUGAAUGUGUGUGGUGCCAUGGAAGU